AAAUGGGAGAGCGACUAGAAGAACUGAAGCACAAGUUAUCCUAGAUUAGGCUUUAUUUAAAUUGAUGUUUUAUCUUUAUUGUUCCGCUGCGUAUUUAGAACUGUGAGACUAUAUAAUUUGGAUCAGUCAAUGGAGUAAGAUUACAUUUAUUUCAGUUGAAUUAUUUUAGAUAUAUAUUUAUAAAAUUGAGAUGUUUGGUUUAGAUGCCUUGCAUGCUCGUCGGGAGAGUUCCCUACGGGUGUGCGGCGGUUGACGGAACCCCUGGCUCGCGAUCUCGGGCCGGGGGCGUGACAACUUUUAUGGUAUCAGAGCAUAAUUGGAUAAAUAAUGAGAUAAGAAAAUCUGACAUGACAUGAGUAUAGGUGGGUAGACACUAGGGACAUUGGGACGUUAGUUUAUGAUGAUUGUGGCAACCAUUCUAUGUACUUGUAAUGAAUUGGUAAGCUUAUUAUUGGCAUGCUGCUAUCUGAUAGACAUAGGUCAGGAUGCCUCCACGUCGGACGAGAAAGAUUACUUAUAGAGCUACUAAUAAGGCACCCAACCCGCAAAAUGACAGCAUACCCCAACAAGCUGGUAACACCCCUCAGCAGGAGAGAGUUGUCAAUCCUGCUAGUGAUACUCAGACAGGACAACAAGAGCCGGGCCUAGGCCAAGUUAUGCAGACCAUAGUGGCCUUAUGCAGAUACAACAGCAGGUGCAACAGCAGUUGCUCUAACAACAAGCGCAGUUGCCCCAGACACAACCACAGCAAGGACGAGGGGAACAGUAUGAACAGCGUAGCAGUAUAGCUGAAUUUAAGAGGCUGGCUCCUCUAGCUUUCAAGGGGACUACAGAACCGUUGGAAGCAGAUAAUUGGCUUAUAGAGAUGGAAAAAGCAUUUGCUGUCUUGAGAUGCCAGGAUGAUGAAAAGAUUUUGUUUGCAUUAUACAUGAUGCAAGGUGAGGCAUUCAACUGGUGGCGGAUGUUGGAACAUAAAUAUGAGCAGGAUAGGGAGCCACUCACUUGGGAAAGAUUUUGAGGAGCAUUUUAUGAUAAGUAUUUUCCUCGGAGUGUAAGGACGCAGAAAGAGCAGGAGUUUAUUCACCUAAAGCAAAGAAAUAUAACUAUUGCAGAAUAUGAAGCCAAAUUUACCGAGCUAGCCAAAUUUGUUCCAAAGUUAGUCGAAGAUGAACUAGAUCGAACGCAUAAAUUUGAGAUGGGACUAAAGACUGAAAUUAGAAAACAAGUGGUACCUUAUGAAUUGACUACCUAUGCAGCUGUGGUAAAUAAGGCUUUAAUAAUUGAAAGGGAAGUUAUUGAUGAACGGUUGGAAAGGAAAAGAAAUCAAAAGAAGAGN
rnacentral:lncRNA from 1 species